ACCCUGCAGUUCCGUUUCCCAUCAGAUCUGAACGCUAGUCUGGGUGGUCAUAAAGGAGAAAAAGGAACAUUGAAACUGACCUCAGUGCUUGUAGCACAUGGGCUAGAUUUAGACAGGU